rnacentral:lncRNA from 1 species
AGUAUUUGUGAAUUGUGUUUAUAUAUAAAGACAUGUUUGGGUGUGUUCGGGAUAAUAUGUUCGAAAUGUUAGACAUGAAUGAAAAAGGAGACUCAUCAACCUCACUAUCUUUCAUCACCACAACAUAUGUUAUGGUCGAUGAUCUUUCAUCAUAUUCAAUAAUCUCGUGGAGUCAGAGCGGCAAGAGUUUCAUCAUUUGGAAUCCGGAAGAGUUUUCCAGCAAUCUCCUACAAAGAUUCUUCAAGACCAACAGUUUAGAUUUAUUCUUCUUUAACCUUGAAAUACAUGUAAGUUGCUGAUACGUUUAUUUUUGUAAGUUGUCAUCAUAUUCUGUAAGAUAGUUUUAUUGUCUUUAAACUCUGAAUUUUUUUUUUGCUAGUGCUUUAGAAAAAUCGACUCUAGAAAAUGGGACUUCGCAAAUGAUAAUUUUGUGCGAGAUCAACCUCACCUCAUAAACAACAUUAUAAGCUUCAUGAUAGAAGAAAGGGAUCAGCUAGACCGAAAAAUGGAUAUGAUAAAGGCGGAACGUUUAUUUACCAUGCAAGUUAAAGAAGUAGAGGAUCAGUUGCAACCUAAUAGGUGUUAUCCAAACGAACAACAUUCUUUCCUAACCAAAGCAUAUGAGAUGGUGGAUGAUCCCUCGUCGGAUAAAAUUGUAUCAUGGAGCCAAAGCGGCAAGAGUUUCAUCAUUUGGAAUCCUUAAGUCGAAUUCUAAAUACUUUAAACAAAACUCAUAACUUCAAAUCUUAUAGAACUCGGACAAACUGGUGAAGAAGAAACUCCACUAAGCAUGACUAAAACAUAUCUAUUAGGAUGUGGCCAUAUGAUUUGAAAAUAUAUCAAUUUUAUUAACUCGCAUGAUCGUGACACAUGUCAGGUCUAUUGAUCGGAUUUUAACAUGUGUAAAAAUUAUAAUAAUAUAAC